GACGAACGCUGGCGGCGUGCCUAAUACAUGCAAGUAGAACGCUGAAGGAGGAGCUUGCUCUUCUGGAUGAGUUGCGAACGGGUGAGUAACGCGUAGGUAACCUGCCUGGUAGCGGGGGAUAACUAUUGGAAACGAUAGCUAAUACCGCAUAAGAGUAGAUGUUGCAUGACAUUUACUUAAAAGGUUCAAUUGCAUCACUACCAGAUGGACCUGCGUUGUAUUAGCUAGUUGGUGGGGUAACGGCUUACCAAGGCGACGAUACAUAGCUGACCUGAGAGGGUGAUCGGCCACACUGGGACUGAGAAACGGCCCAGACUCCUACGGGAGGCAGCAGUAGGGAAUCUUCGGCAAUGGACGGAAGUCUGACCGAGCAACGCCGCGUGAGUGAAGAAGGUUUUCGGAUCGUAAAGCUCUGUUGUAAGAGAAGAACGAGUGUGAGAGUGGAAAGUUCACACUGUGACGGUAUCUUACCAGAAAGGGACGGCUAACUACGUG
rnacentral:rRNA from 1 species